GUGGGGAAUCUUCCGCAAUGGACGAAAGUCUGACGGAGCAACGCCGCGUGAGUGAAGAAGGUUUUCGGAUCGUAAAGCUCUUUCGUUAGGGACGAACGUGCUCUUUGUGAAUAAUGAGGAGUAAUGACGGUACCUAAAUAAGAAGCCACGGCUAACUACGUGCCAGCAGCCGCGGUAAUACGUAGGUGGCAAGCGUUGUCCGGAAUUAUUGGGCGUAAAGCGCGCGCAGGCGGGAUAUCAAGUCUGUCUUAAAAGUGCGAGGCUCAACCUCGUGAGGGGACAGAAACUGGUAUUCUUGAGUGUCGGAGAGGAAAGUGGAAUUCCAAGUGUAGCGGUGAAAUGCGUAGAGAUUUCGAAGAACACCAGUGGCGAAGGCGACUUUCUGGACGAUGUCUGACGCUGAGGCGCGAAAGCUAGGGGAGCGAACGGGAUUAGAAACCCCAGUAGUCC
rnacentral:rRNA from 1 species